AAGUCGUAACAAGGUUUCCGUAGGGUGAGUGGAACCCCCCCAGCAGACACCCGAACCGCCUACUGACACCUCACAGUGAACCUGCGGGAGGAUCAUUAAAGAGAUAGGGCCCCGGUCCGCCGGGGCCCGAAACUCCCACCCUGUGCCGUCGCGAACUCCGUUGCUUUGGCGGGGCCGUCCCCGGACGACCGGCCCCCGUCCGCGGGUGCCGGGCAGCCCCCGCCAGAGGUCCAAACGCAAACCCUCUCGAAACCUCCGCGGUCAGAGCACGAAAACGAAUCAAACAAAACUUUCAACAACGGAUCUCUUGGUUCUG
rnacentral:misc_RNA from 1 species